CGCCACAACCAUAUCACCCUGCAGCCCAAAACAGCUGAAGCUAAGCAGGGCCGAGCCUGAUCAGUAUCUGGAUAGAAGACCACAUGGGAAAACUAGGUUGGAGGUGAUGU
rnacentral:rRNA from 1 species